rnacentral:rRNA from 1 species
ACGAAGGGAGCUAGCGUUGUUCGGAAUUACUGGGCGUAAAGGGCGCGUAGGCGGUUUGGUAAGUUGGAUGUGAAAGCCCAGGGCUCAACCCUGGAACUGCAUUCAAAACUGCUUGACUUGAAUUCGGUAGAGGUUGGUGGAAUUCCCAGUGUAGGGGCGAAAGGCGUAGAUGUUGGGAGGAACAGCCGUGGCGAGGGCGGCAAACUGGAACGGCAUCGACGCUGAGGCGCGAAACCGUGGGGAUGAAACAG